AGAACAUUAUGGUAAAUCUACAGAGCAGUUUAUAAUAGAAUCACAAGCAGAGCCCCUAGAAAAAGAUCCAACAGUAUCCAACAGUAUCCUUAGCAUCUGAAGUAACUGCUCUUUGUAAGAAGAAGCUAUCUAUGUUCAUAAGUAUGAAACAAAUCAAUAACCUGGCAUUCCCAAGAAUCUUUGUAUACAUCAAGAUGCAUAAACAUCCAGCAGCAGCCAGACCAAUAGUAGAAAAAAGACACUCCCUAAUCUUUAAUAUUAAAAAGAGCUUUGCAGAAUGGUGCAUGAACAAAAUGAAAAGGUAUCAAUAUGUUGUACAAUCACCACAACAGUUGGUAAUUAAAAUUUUAAAUCACA
rnacentral:lncRNA from 1 species